AGCGGGGAAAGAAGACCCUGUUAAGCUAGAUUCUAGUCUGACUCUGUGAAGAGACAUGAGAGGUGUAGCAUAAGUGGGAGGGCGUGAACGUUCGCGGUUCUGUCGUACCGACAGUGAAAUACCACUACUUUCACCGUUUCUUUACUUACUCGGUGAAGCGGAAAGCGGACCAUGAGUGUCCACGCUUCUAGCACUAAGUGCAAGGCCCUUCGUUGGCCCGCACGAUCUGUUCCGAGGACAGUGUCAGGCGGGUAGUUUGACUGGGGCGGUACAGCUGUCAAAUGGUAACGCAGGUGUCCUAAGGCGAGCUCAGCGAGGACAGAAACCUCGCGUAGAGCAA
rnacentral:ncRNA from 1 species